GGAAUCCAGAAGCAGGGCAGAUUUCUCCUCAGAAAGUGGAAUCCAGAAGCAGGACGGGUUUUCUCCUCAGAAAAUGGAAUCCAGACACACCCAUGUUAAGGUACACACAGACACCAACCAGGAUGGACUGCUGCCAAGGCAGAUGUUUGCAUUGGAGUCAGAGCCAGAAGAACCUGGACUGCAGCCACCUCAGUGAGGUAAAGCACCCCCAUCUCCUUUCUUUUGCAUCUUCCAUGUACCACAAAGACUCUACACAGAAGACAUGGAAAUUAUAAAUGAUCUGUGCUUAGAUCCCAGAUCUGCAAAUUACAGAGUUACUUCAUCUUCUCUGUGAACUUUUUUUUUUGCUUGUGGCAUCAUUUCCUGUACCUGCUAUUGCAAAAUAAAAAUUGAAAAAUAAUA